rnacentral:rRNA from 1 species
AUUGAACGCUGGCGGCAUGCCUUACACAUGCAAGUCGAACGGUCACAGGCCGCAAGGUGCUGACGAGUGGCGAACGGGUGAGUAAUGCAUCGGAACGUGCCCAGUUGUGGGGGAUAACUGCUCGAAAGAGCAGCUAAUACCGCAUACGACCUGAGGGUGAAAGCGGGGGAUCGCAAGACCUCGCGCAAUUGGAGCGGCCGAUGUCAGAUUAGGUAGUUGGUGGGGUAAAGGCCUACCAAGCCGACGAUCUGUAGUUGGUCUGAGAGGACGACCAGCCACACUGGGACUGAGACACGGCCCAGACUCCUACGGGAGGCAGCAGUGGGGAAUUUUGGACAAUGGGCGCAAGCCUGAUCCAGCAAUGCCGCGUGCAGGAAGAAGGCCUUCGGGUUGUAAACUGCUUUUGUCAGGGAAGAAAUCCUCUGGGUUAAUACCCCGGGGGGAUGACGGUACCUGAAGAAUACGCACCGGCUAACUACGUGCCAGCCGCCGCCGUAAGAC